CCGGGUGUGUCCGUGAGACAUCCUCGCUGCGUCCCUGCUCUGGAGUCUGGUGCUCUGGUCGUCCCCUGCCAGGCCAGUUAGUCCCAGCCGUGGUGACUGACUGACUGACUGACUGACUGCUGCUGGUGGCUGCUCAUUUCUGGAGUCUGUGCACCAAAAGAGGAAAAGAGUAACGUGAGAAGAGGAGCGUGAAGUGUUCUGUCAGUGCAGUGCAAUGGAGAGCUGCUGACUUAGCACUGAAGGAGAUCACAAACCUAAUGACAGGGGAAAUCUCAGUGAUUUGGGACUGUGGCUACUUUUGAGCUAAGAAGGAAGAGGAUCCUGAAUCUCAAAGCUGGCUCUCAGUGAGCAGAGCUGAUGAGCAACAGAAGGGGAGGAAAGUCGUAAACUCCACUGAAAUCAGCAGAAAUGAUCCUUGCAGCUCUCAGGAUCAGAGAUUUUCCUGAGAUUCCCACUGCUUCAUCAUCCUUUUGCAUCCGCACUGCAGCCUUCCCAGUCCUGCUGCUGAAACGCAUAGAGGAAGAGUUUCUCCACACGCUUCAUGUGCACUUGUCCUAGGAUAUUGUGUCUCCCAGCUCUUCUCUGGAAAGACAGCUGGAGAAGAGAGUCACGAUACACUCGGGCAGUUUUCCACGGGCCAUCAGGAAGUGCUCUGAGAGGCACUGAAGGAACACAGAACAGUUUGAAAAUCUCUGGGAUAUG